rnacentral:lncRNA from 7 species
ACGACCCGGGAAGGGGAUGAGCUGCGUGCAUCACUGCUGUGUCAGAGCCCCCGGACUGCUGCGGAGACCACAAAGAAGCCCCCAACCUCGAGGCCAUCGUCCAUCCCACCAGACCUCAUGCAUCUCCCCUCCUGCACCCACGGGAUGGAGAAGCCAUCGGUUCAGCUCGUGCCAACAGAUGGAAGCUGUGCUCCGAGCAUCUCCUCCAGCCCAUGGGAACUUCAUUCCCUCAUCCAGCAGAAGCCACAGCGCUACCAUUCCUGCUGCUGCAGUUUGGGACCGGCAGUGAUGCUGUGCACCCAGCCAUCACCCUCUUGCAUGGAGUAACCUGGUGGGGCUGCUGAGGUCUGAUUUGCCCAUAAGAUGUAGGGUUGGGCUUCCGCUGUGCUGCAGGUGGGAUGCUCCAUUGGUUACUCUGCAUCCUCUGAGUGUGGAAAUCAGGCUGAGAGCCUCUAAUCUCAAUCCACUUGGACAGAAUUACCAUCCCUAAUCUCCCAUUCCUUGGGUGUCCCCAGGGCUCUGUUAACACCUGGAGCUGCCUGGGAUCUGUGCUGCCCCAGAGUGGAUUCUAUGUGGACAUACUAACAUGCGUGGGUUCACUGAGUCUGUUAGCAUCCCCUAACAUAGAAUCAUUACGUUUGGAACAGACCUUGAAAAUCACCAACUCCAACCACCAGCCCACCCCCACCGUGCCCACUGACCACAUCCCUCAGUGCCACAUCCACGUGGUUCAUGAACACCUCCAGGGCUGAUGACUCCACCACCUCCCUGGGCAGCCCGUGCCAAUGCACCACUGUUCUUUCUGAGAAGAUGCAGGGAGAGCACCUCACCCCAUGCUGGGCUGUGUGGGACCCCAUCUCCACUAUCCCCACAUCUCUAUCCCUCAGCCUGGCCAUGUGCCGGAGCAGAGUGCACAUAGAGACGCCCUGCAAAGGGCUUCAGGGGCACACACAGACCCCACUGUUCACUCCUCUCCCUCUGGCUUCUGUCCCUACUUGCUGCCGUGCUGUGCUUCGUGGUGAUGCUGUUGCUCUUUAUGGCUGGUGGGGCUGAUCUUGAGUGAGUCAUUAUGUGGCAAAUGGGAUCCAAUCAGAGUGACAUUAUUUCCUCGCCCGGUGUUCUUUGCAAAUGAGAUUUUGCAGAACUCGGAGCAUUUUUUUUUUCCUUCCAGCCAUCCCCGCUCCCCGAUGCUCAUUGCUGUGCUUUGGUGAC